rnacentral:lncRNA from 1 species
ACAGCAACGGCGUGGCGGUGAGUUCUGGCGUGCAAGUCAACCCGAGGACAGGCUCGCGGCUGAAGGCGGAAGUGCAGUGCGACGGGACAGCAUUGCCGGCAUCCCCGCGCUUCGCCCGCCACAACCACAACCAUCUCACCCGCGGGCCAGCAGCGGUGAGUGCGGUAGCAGGCGAGGCGGUGCCGGCGGUGUGCGGGGCGGCGUGCUGCGGCUGCACGCUGCGCGACGCGGCCGCGCGACACGAGCAGCGCGUCGCCGCCAGCGAGCGCCUGGAGCGUGCGAACCUCGAGUGGAAGCAGGUGGCCGUGGUCGCAGACCGCGCACUUCUCGCCGUGUUCGUGUUAGUGACCACAAUCGCCACCGCCGCCAUUUUGCUGCCUCAGCUGAAAAACCUUCACGUCGGCAACACACCGUUAAAGCCUCCAACUUAGACGAUUGUUAUCUUAAGAUAAGUUUGAUUUAGGUAAAUAUCUAUUGAUUUCAAUAUCAACGAUAUAAUUUUUGCCGCUCAGUUUAGUAGAUGACUAUUAACAUGGAUCUAUUCUUAAAUUAUAAUAUUAUGGUGUAUAUUAUUGCUCAAAAGUAGGUGCCUAUGUUGACGUAACUACAUACAAAAUUAGGUUGCAACCAAAGAUUGUAUACUAUAGAUAUGUCAGCGCGAGAAACUGAGGCGAAUAAUAGUGGUUAAUUGUCUUAAUUUCAUUAGCAUU